GGUUCCGUAGCUCAGUAGGAUAGAGCAACUGCCUCCUAAGCAGUAGGUCGCCAGUUCGACUCUGGCCGGGAUCACCA
rnacentral:tRNA from 1 species